UUGAGGAAGAAAGAAGAGCAGGCAGUGUCUCAGUGCGGUGCUAUGCUGUUCUAGGAAGAUGGGGCGUUGAUGAUGGACCGCAGCUGGAUGCAGGUGCGGACGAAUGACCAGAAGUGAAUGGCCGGAGCCGUAACUGGAUGCCGGCAGCCGACGCCCGGCCGUGUUGCUUGGCGAGAGGCAGCAGCCGUACUCAGACCUUCUUCCUUCUACAGCAGCAACAUCAGCCCGGUGCUCUGCUCCAGUUCCUCCAUCCUUGCCGCCACCUCUUCCCACUUCCCAGCACUGGCCGCUACGAUGAACCCAUUUGCUUGCUGCGAUGGUUACGGACGCUCAUGGGAUUGCUGCG
rnacentral:lncRNA from 1 species